rnacentral:antisense_RNA from 1 species
AAAGAGCAACUUUCCUCUAUAAUGUAAUUAUGUACUUUCUACAUCUAUGGUAACAAUACCUUAGUUUGAUUAUAGGUACUUGUUUAGCGAUAGUCAGUUGGCCCUAGGCUAUAGUUCUAGAGGGUUUGGAAAAUCUCAUACAUCAGAGGUGGAACCAGUAGAAGGAAAACAACAACAAAGGAUCAUGAUAAAGGACUCUGCUGUUACUCAAUGGAGAUACUAAUGCUAUGGAAACCAGCCAUAGGAAAUAAGCCAUUUGGGGAUGGUGUAAAGGGCAGGCUAUAAUGAAACCACUUAUAAUGUGUAAGAUAACAGAAAUCUACAACAUAUUUCUCAAUCAAAAUGAAGACAUUCAGCAUGUACUAGCAGAACCAAUUCAAACUGGAACAAAGAUGGGGCGAGUGGACAUUGCCUUUUCCUCCAAGGGUUGGUUUGACAUCUUAUAAUCACUUUAUAUAACAGCCAUUCUCCCAGUAAAAAGUGAAAAACCAGAGGAAGAGGUCUUACUUCAUCCAACUCCACUGAUUUUGGCUUUGAGAGAAUACAGCUUUAAGAAGGUAUUCCCAGGAAUAUCCCAGGAACUCUAUCCGCCCCCUCAGAAUAGUAGGCAAUUGAGUUAGUGAUGGUGACUCAGGCAGGCUUUUUCAUCCUGAUCUAAAGGAACCACUACAACCCUAGAGAGAGAAAUAAAAAGGGAAUCGAGUGGAAAAGGCCUCCACCACCGAUGACUCAUGCUCCACUGUGACUCGCCUGGCACAUCAAUCUGUGGCUAAGACAUGGAGGCUUGGUUCAUUAGUCACUUCAGUGAUUUUUUCAAAGCAAGGAUUCUCCCUCUAAAUAAUCAUGAGCUCUGCUUCCACAGUGUUUGUAUGUGAGCUUGUGACUCACCUUUCCACCAUGCCAGGCAGUACCAAUUGUGUCAUCUGCAAGAGAGAAAGCAAAACAUUCAUGAUGGCCGAGGAUGCAGGCAACAGAAAAAGAGUGAAGAAAACUCACCCACACUAAAAAGAAGGGAAUCAUGAAACCAUUCACCACUUCUGCAGACAGCAGGUUAUUUUCUGUACACUGUAGAAUGUGACUGUGUCAAGAGGGCAUAAAAAGGAAUCAGCUGAAAUUACUGGAAAGAACACAGGGGCUACUUUCAAUGAACUUGACUAAAAUUAGUCUUGCCUGAAAUGUAAUACUGGCACAGAGUUCUUCAAACAAUGAAGGAUUUACAGUGAAAAUCUACAUUUCCCAAAAUGCAUUCUCAGAAGAGAAUAUAUGUUAUCAGAAGAAAUAUCCUGCCUACCAAGAUGACUUGAGCUUUCUAACCUCAAGAGCUCACAUAAACUUUUCCAGCCAAAAAAAGUCUUUAAAAGAAUACCGUAAAGUGAUAGGUUGGCAAAGAGUAAGUGUAUCUUCACAUUCAUUUCUCUUGUUGGCCUAGUUAGCUGUAAGUAAAACUCAUCCUUAAAGAGAGCUAAGAUGUGAUCUCUAGUAACCAACAAUGAAAAGGUGACAUCUGCAUUUUUUAAGGACUCCAUAAUUGUUGACUAAAUACAUAUAAUGAGGGGCUAUUUUUAAACUCUGUUUUGAUAUAUCAUUAACCAAGAAAAGUUCAGAAGUCCAAUGGUUUAGUCAAAAUCACCUCAUAGUUAAAUACUGAGGCUGUAAUGUGAAUUUCCGACUCCUGGAUAUCAUCAAUUCUGUAAGAAACAGAUGCUGUUUUGUAAUAAUAAGGUUUCAAUGCAUGCUAAGCAUAGAAAUUUUGUUGUUUCUAUCUUGAAUAAUACUUCAUAUUAAUUAAAGUAGACAGCAUUCUGAUGAGAAGGGAAUUUUGUUUUCCUAGAAAUAUUCUGAAGAAAGAAAAUGCCAUCCAGAUUUAACAAGGUAAAUUCUGCUAUGUGGACAUCCAAUCCAGAUUGGAUUAUUGGUAUUAUUGGUAUUAUGAACAGCUUUGUAUGGUAGUACAGAUGUACAUCAGGCAUAUUAACAGUGGUGGGUAUUUUAUCAUAAAGGAUAGAUUAUACAAAACCCUAACAGUAUUUGAAAACAUUUUUUUUUUUUAUUUAGCACAUUUCAUCAGGGACCAUAAUGCUUAGCUAAAGUAUUAUAAAGAGUUCCCCCAGCAUUUUGUGAAGGGAAGCUAUAAUUCAGUUCUCCAAAGUCCUGAGAUCACCAGAAACAGAAUAAGGAAGGAGACUGGUAAUAAAAAUGUCUUUACCCAG